AUGGCAUACCACAGAAACUGGAGGAAACGUCAUGCUGAAGUGCUGUCUCUUGCAGAUGAUGAUUCAAAUAGCAGUGAUACAGAUGGGUUACUGAGGGCUCGGUUCAAGGAAACUGCUCCUGAUCUGGGAGAGGAAAUUGCAGCAUGGGCAGCUACCAACAAAUGCAAGCGAUCUGGACUAAAUGAACUACUAGAUAUUCUAAGGCGCCAAGGACAUCGCCUCCCCAAGGAUGCCAGAACCCUGCUGAAAACCCCUAAAAGAGUGGAAGUAGUUGAUCUGUGUGGUGGUCAAUAUGCCUACUUUGGUAUUGCAUCAGGAGUACUGAAGGUUUUAUCCCAGAAUCCUGUUUUCCAUGAAGACCGAAUAGAUAUGUGCUUUAACAUUGAUGGCAUUCCAUUAUUUAAAUCAUCAAGUCUGCAAAUGUGGCCAAUCCUGUGCAGUUUCCAUGAUUUUGCACCCUUCAUUGUGGCACUCUAUUGUGGAAAAGCAAAACCGAGCCCAGUUAAAGAUUACCUCUCUGAUUUUCUACAGGAGUUGCAGCAACUUAUGCAAGAUGGCAUAGUCCAUGGAGAGAAAGCACUGCAAGUGACUGUAAAAUCCUUUGUUUGUGAUGCACCAGCUCGAUCAUUCCUGAAAUGCAUAAAGAAUCACAAUAGCUACUUCGCAUGUGAGCGCUGCACAGUUAAAGGCACCUAUGUGGGACGAGUUGUUCUUGGUGCUACAUCGCCUGGUGUUGUUGCAAGGUCUGAAGCAGAUUUCAGUAGACUUGCCUACAAAGACCAUCAAAUUGAGAAAUCCCCACUGACACUAGCUGGAAUUCCAUGUGUUCGGCCAUUUGCAUUGGACUACAUGCACUUGGUGUGUUUGGGUGUAGUUAGGAGAAUGCUUCACUACAUGCAGAGAGGACCCCACACAUGCAGACUGUCAUUUCAGCAAAGGAGUGACAUUUCAGUUAAACUAAAGGCAUUGAAUGGAGAACUACCUAGUGAGUUUGCACGGCAACCUAGGACUUUACUGGAAUUGGACAGAUGGAAGGCUACAGAACUUAGACAGUUUCUCCUUUAUACUGGACCAGUGGUUCUAAGAAAAGUGGUUUCACAUGCUGUAUACAAACACUUUCUUUCCUUGAUGGUUGCGGUGUCCGUCCUUUUGAAUUCGGAUGAUGCAGACCGUAAGGAACACUUAGACUAUGCUCGAGAGCUACUCAUGUACUAUGUGAAGAAGUGUGAGGCUAUAUAUGGAAACACCUUCGCUGUAUACAAUGUUCAUUCACUAAUUCACUUACCAGAUGAUGUGGAACACUUCAACUGUUCACUGAAUGGGAUUUCAUGCUUUCCAUUUGAGAACUACCUGCAGACUCUAAAGAAAAUGGUCAGACAAUCUCGCAAUCCUAUAGCCCAAGUUGCCAAGCGUCUAGCAGAAAUUGAAAAUUCUACAAAAUCUAGGCCUUUUACCAAAGAGAGCUUUACUCGCAUAUCCACAAGGCCAAGAGAUUGUUGUUUCAUCCUUCAGAACAAGGACUAUGUCUUUGUGAAGGAAAUGCAUGAAGAUGGCACCUUGGUUUGCGAUGUGCUACACCAAUGCAACACAGAGAGUUUCUUCACUGAUCCUUGUGAUUCUAAACUGCUCCACAUCGUCCGUGUUAGAGAUAUCAGCAGAACUAGACGUCGACUGAUCAGCAAACAGCAGUUGAUUCGUAAAGUUGUCUGUCUGCCAGCCAACCCUGGUGAAGCUGACACAGGAUUCAUUUUGUUCCCCAUGUUGCAUGAAAUAGAACGUAACUGA
rnacentral:lncRNA from 1 species